AGCUUUGCGCAGUGGCAGUAUCGUAGCCAAUGAGGUUUAUCCGAGGCGCGAUUAUUGCUAAUUGUUGUUAUAUUGUAUUCUCUGUAUCAUCACAGCUGGAAGAACAAAUAUUCCCUAAAUAGGA
ensembl:snRNA U4 U4 spliceosomal RNA